UAAACAGCAGAAAUGUCGCCCGCCGCAGUGGCUCCCCCCCUCUCGCGCACCAAGCGGUUCGUCAUCGCCGCCGUUUCCGCCAUCAACGACGCCGCUUGCCGCUCCGACGGCACCGUCAACCGCCGGCUCGUGUCGCUUCUCGACGCCCGGGUCGCCGCCUCCGCCAAACCCUUUCGUGGCGUCCGCACUGCCGACGUCCCCGUUGACCUCUCCCGUGAUCUGUGGUUCCGACUCUUCGUCCCCUCUUCCGUUUCUGACGGCGAACGGCUUCCCGUCAUCGUCUUCUUCCACGGAGGCGGGUUCGCCUUCCUGUCCCCCGACUCCUACCUCUUCGACGACGUGUGCCGCCGGAUCUGCCGCACGGUCCACGCUGUCGUGGUAUCCGUCAACUACCGCCUUGCGCCGGAGCACCGGUGCCCGGCGCAGUACGAGGACGGGGUUCACGUGCUCCGCUUCCUGGAGGACGGCGGCCUCUUGUACGCUGACCCCUCCGCUGCAGAUCUUGCCGACCUAUCCAGCUGCUUCCUCGUGGGCGAUUCCGCCGGCGGAAACAUCGUCCACCACGUAGCCCGGCGCUGGGCAGCGGACGCCGACGGCGGGUGGAAGAGGCUGCGACUGGCGGGAAUGGUGCUGAUCCAGCCCUACUUCGGUGGCGAGGAGCGCACAGAGGCUGAGCUGAGGCUGGUCGGUGCACCGCUGGUGUCGGUGGAGAGGACGGACUGGCUGUGGCGGGCGUUCCUUCCGGAGGGAGCGGACCGGGACCACGAGGCGUCGAACGUGUUCGGGCCGCGGGCGGUAGAGGAGCUGGAGGAGGCUCUGCCAGCGGCGAUGGUGGUGGUAGGGGGCUUCGACCCGCUGCAGGACUGGCAGCGGAGGUACUACAAGGGGUUGAGGGCGAGGGGCAAGUCGGCGCGGCUGGUGGAGUACCCGGAGGCCUUCCACUCCUUCUACGCCUUCCCUGAUCUGAAGCAAUCCACAGUGCUCAUGGAGGAGAUCAAGAGCUUCGUCGACAGCCACCGACCUCGGAAGGAGGAGGACAGAGAACGAAGUGGUGGUGGUGACAAGCACAGUAAUAUUGAAGAGUGGUAGUUGUUUAUUGAGUGUAGAUAACAGUAAUUGUGAUUGCACAGUCUUUGGUUAUUGUAUGUGCCAUAUCCCAUAAUGCUUUUUAAUAUGUACAAAAAAUAUUAGCCGGCUUUUUAUACAAAAAUAAAAUUUUAUAUAUUGGAACAAACUUAAUUGGUACCAUCUCUUUUUUUGUUUUUGAUAUAAACGAGAUGAAAGGAUUCAGAAAGAUGUGAGUCAACUGUUUGUAUCAGUCGUCGAUAAAGAUAAAAAAAAAAGGUUUUUAAUUUUUUGUUACUGAAACAAUGACAAUAAUUGUAGGACCAGAAGGUAGACAUAAUCCUCACAGACUACUGCAUGCCGGAGAUGACUGGUUAUGACCUCCUAAAGGCUGUCAUGGUAUGAAAGCUGUGCAGAACAAUCUGCAUUCUGCCUCAUCUUCCUGCUAAUCAUGUCUACAUCUUACACUUCAGGAACAGAGCUGCCAAAAACCCAUUCCUGUGAUCGUAAUGUCAUCAGAAAACGAGCCACAGAGAAUCAACAGCUUUGUAUCUUCCUUCCACACUUCUUUGGAUGCCGUUCACUGCAAAGACGAAAUCUGCUGAAUGCACCAUCAUCAUUUAAGCUGUCAACAAACCAAACAUUAGUCUUGUCUGGGCAUCCAUCCGAUAUUUCAUGCCUUGCUUCUAUUUCUUUCUUUUUCCUGGUCAAAGAAACCAAUGAUUUGUGCAUUGCUGAAUGAGAUGUGCCCAUUCUAUUGUCGGGAGAGAAGAUAUGUUUCUUCUCCAAAACUAAAUGAUCAUGCGUGUGUGUUCAAAUUAGGUGCCGAGCUAUUGGAGCCGAGGAUUUCAUCAUCAAACCCCUCCAAACUAAUGACGUUCUGAGACUGAGAAGCUACGCUUGAACAGGACUGCCGCCGCCGCCGCCAUCGUUGUCUUCCAAGUCGGGCACCAAGCGGAAAAUGACAAGCGAGUUGCGGCACCCUUGCGUGUUCACCGGAAGCUCGCCUACUCUUUGCUCACACUUCUGAAGCACUUAGUGUUUGCACUCCUUGUGUCGAGUAAGUUACUGUGAUUCACCUUCUCAAUGCCAUCGAACUUCUGGAAUGCAGGAAGUUUUCAUCCCGAUUUGGAGUAAUUCUCUCAUAGGUUUGGUCGCCUCUGGGAUUGUACCAUCUUCUCCAUCAACCCUGCCACCUACUCUACUGAGUAACAAAGGUACAACACCGUGUACUGUCUGCUUCGUUCCUUGGUCAUGCACUCUUGUCUGACCCAAAGUCCUUCACUUUCGACUAUCUUGAUGAGAAGUUCGUUGACACCGGUCUUACGAAGUUCCUUGGCCUUUGCCCUUCAGCCUUAUCUCGGUACUUGGAGUUUGCCUCUGAAUGCUCCACCUCCUCGGUCGUUUCACGACCAAGCGCUCUCCCUCCAUGAGAGCAAGGGAUCAAUGACUUUCACGGAAGUCCUGCCUCUACGGUACCAUGGUGCUGCCAUGCCCAUGGCCCUACUAUCCGUCGCCUCACAUCUGCAUCAUUUUUCUUCACGAUCAGUAGAUAUGUCUCUGUGGCACUCCUCUGAGUCCACCUCCAUUCUAACUGAUGCUUGAUUUUGGAUUGCUAAGUCCCUCUAGACUUGUCGUCGCUUUCUCGCCCCUUUUGACCCCCUGCUUCAACACCUCGGUGUUCUCCAAGCAGAUUCCUUUGGUCGAUGGAAAGACAGACUACAACUCCCAUGCAUGGCCUCUGCCAUCACGUUAUAGGGUUUGCACUGAUUCUGUUCUCCUUAGCUUCCUUGGUAGCAACGUUCGCUUACUCGACCUUGUCCUCUGACUUGUCGGGCUCCCUUAAGCGAAUAUGGGCUCUAGAGCAGUCUAACUCUCCAGCUACUUCGAUCAUACCUCUGCAUGAUCAAGUCCCUCCCAUGGGACUCACUGGUACUUGCAUUCGAACUUUUACCAUUGGUGGAAUACAGCCCCCAUAUGCUGAUGACCAAGGCUUCAUCCGAUGCAAAAUUCGAUGCACGCACGGAAGACCCUUAAAUUGUAAUUACUAUGUAAUGCCUACCACGCGUUCUCGAGUGAGUUUGUUUGCUUGUGGUGUUAGUGGUGAUAAGUUGUAUUAUAGUGAUGAAAAGUACUAAUGAAUGGUUGAGUACAAUGAUUUAUUUAUACAGUUGAGGAUUUUUCUCAACUAUCCUAUGAGAUUUCCUCAUGCAGUUGAAGAAAUCUUUAUCUGUUAUCAUGCCCCCUGUAUGAUUGAGCUCCUGUCAAGGAUGCCAAUCUUAGAACGAUGUAACAAAAAUAAUUUACGAGCGAGAGGCUUCAUGAGUAAGUCUGCUAGUUGAUCAGUCGUAUGGACGUGAGAAACACGUAGUUAAUGUCUAACAACUUGAUCUCGCACGAAAUAAAAAUCGAUUAUAAUAUAUUUCAUGCGUGAAUGGAAAACCGGAUUGACACAUAGAUAUGUAGUUCUAAUAUUAUCAAAAUAUAUUGUAGGAGGAAAUGUAGAGUUGACGUUGAGUUUCUUGAUAGGCGGAGAGGAGUGGCGUCGUUGCUCGUUGGAGUUGGUGCGACAGUGGUAGAGCUCGAGAACUUUGGAGGUCGUCUGAGCUAUGGCUUAAAAGACUAGUUGUUGGUGGCGCUGCACCUGAGCGGUGGAUUUGACAGUAGCUUUGGAGCUGGUGCGACAGUGGUAGAGCUCGAGGACUUUGAAGGUCAUCUGAUGGCUUCGUUGUCUAAGCUAUGGCUUAAAAGGCUAGUUGUUUGUGGCGUUGCACUUGAGCGGUGGAUUUUACAGCAGCGGUCAGUGAAAAAAGAAGGAUAAACCUUGUUCUAAGGCAAUAUGACUCUGAUACCAUGAUAAGUUGUAUUGUAAUGAUGAAAAGUAGUUAUGAAUAGUUGAGUACAAUGGCUUAUUUAUACAUGUGGGAAGGAAGGAUUUUCCUUAACUAUCCUACGAGAUUUCCUGAAAAAAAUCUUUAUCUGUUAUCAAGUAGAUGGAUCAUCUGCUAUUCAACUGUUCUUGCUUUGCUCUUCAAAUGCUGUUCAAAUUAAGCUUCUUGAAAGCUCGACAUAUGCUGUUCUAAUCAAUCAAACCGAGGCCAUAGUAGCCUCCCAAGAUACAAAGUCCUCGUUUUGACGACGAGGAUUAAGGAGUGGCUGUCCGUUGAUGUGAGUCCUACUCGUCAAACUUGUUCUGCUCGUGUGAAUCUAUUCUAAAUCGUCCAACAUUCUGCCUGCCUGUGUCGGGGUUGACGGUAUGAUGUUUGCCGCUUCUAACAAAGUGAGCUAACCCCAUGAAUUGUUUCCUAGGGAGCUAAAAGAUAUAACAAAUAUUUAUCAUUGACUUAGUAUAAUCUAUAUGCAUGUUAUUCGUUUAUUAACUACUUGAUAUAUUCAAUCACACGUAUUUAUGGUCAGAUUUAUGGAACCAAAACACGAGAGAGAAUGGUGGAGCGAUGGUUUGGCAAAGUCAAGAAGUUGGCCUUUCUAGGAACAACCGUUGAGGAGAAAACGUUUGAACACACAACUUCUUUUUUUUUCCUUCACAUAAAAUUGGUGUUGCGUUUUUCGUGUGCAUUGCAGUGAUCUCACGUUUUUAUUUGCUGGUCGUUUGGUCAAACUGGCGAGGAGGGUUCUGUUCUGAAUCUUAUGAUGGCGUCAUACGGAAUCGUCGGCCCCAACCGAACUUUGACGUCCAACUUCCUCAUGCAUGCAUGCACGAAGCCUCAAUACACGAGUAGUUUACCGACUUGGGUGGCUACUUGCCAUGCAGUAUCGUAUACUUGUACGAAUUGGUAUACAUGGUCAUGCGUGUUUCCUCUCUUGUGCUGCAUCCAUACGGCACUGCAAGACUUCAAGCACACGUGACGGAUUGGCAUGACACGUUUGGUCCACGGCGUGUUACUCGAUUUCGUACUCGGGUAUCGUGUGAAACGUCCAGGACAGAGCGGAAGGGUUCGCAUAAGUCACGGGGGCCCCACUUGUGAGAGAGAGAGGAUGUGACAGAGUUGGGGACGGAAUUUAUUGUAGUUCUGUUACCAUUUUGACUAAAUAAGCGUCGGAUUUCGCAUAUUGGUCUACCACGUGACGUCACCUCAUUCGUGCUCUCUCGCAGUCCAUAUAUCCGUGCUCGAUUCCUCUCGUCUCCUCCAACUCGCUCUCUCGCGGCUCCCGAGGCCUUCACCCGAGACGAGCUCUUCUAAACGGCAGAAAUGUCGCCCUCCGCAGUGGCUCCCCCCCUCUCGCGCACCAAGCGAUUCGUCAUCGCCGCCGUUUCCGCCAUUAACGACGCCGCUUGCCGCUCCGACGGCACCGUCAACCGCCGCCUUGUGUCGCUCCUCGACGCCCGUGUCGCCGCCUCCGCCAAACCCUUUCGUGGCGUCCGCACUGCCGACGUCCCCGUUGACCUCUCCCGUGAUCUGUGGNNNNN
rnacentral:lncRNA from 1 species